UAAUAGUCUUUUCGUGUUGUAACAGUUUUUGUAUUUUACAGCAAUGCAUCGAAUGUCAAAAGAUCAUUUUCCUCCUGAGCUGAACAAGAUGAGUUAUCAGAAUCUGAAAUCGCCAUAAAGAGAGUAAAGGUGUGUGGGUAUAAAUCUCGCAGUGGAUGGGUAAUUAAAUCAAGUCUAUAUGUCUGUGUAUUAAAAAGUAAUUAUAUAUUAUAUGAGUUAUAUGUAAUAUUAUUUAUAAUAUUGUAAGUCAAAUAUAUAUGCUAUAAAAUAUAAUACACAGUAAGUAUGAAUUUGUGUUUUAGAUGAUCUGGCUUUUGUGGCUGACUUCCUGUCCGAGCAUUUCAGUGCUGUGAGUGAAAAAGAAAUGCAGUCUUUUUAACAAAUGUUUUGUGUGGAGCAUUUUUUCUUUCCUCUAUUUCAGAAUGAGGAGCUGUUUGAUCGGAAAGGGAAGUAUUUCAAUGUAGAGCGCAGUACAGAUGGGAGUUAUUUUUCUUAUUUCAUAACAUACUUGGUUUGUUGUUGCUUUUUGCAGUGCUUGAAGGAGGAAGAUGAAGACUUCAUCUCCACCCAACAUGGAGGAAAACCAGUGGCAGUUGGCAGUUUACCUGACAGAAGUCUCUGCACUUUGUAAAGAGAAUGAUUGAGGGGUCGAUUGAUCUGUGCUUACAGAAACGGGCCGUGAUUGGGCAUUCAAUAAAACAAGCUGCAUGUUUGUGAUUGUACACUGUUCCUGAGAGGUGGAAUGAUAAGAAGGACAGUAUGCAUUAUGUUUUCUUCUGCAUGCCAGAGAUCUCACCUUCUAAAAUCUAUAUUCUGAGGAGAGCAACAGACCCCAACAGCUUCAUCUAAACUCUCGAGCUUAGGAUGAAGAGUUCACCUGGGACUUUACGCUCAGGCUGGAGCAGCAGACUGAAGGGAUCCCAGUCCAGUGUUUGACCUGGGGAAACCAGAGCAGAGAGAUGGACAACAUCAAGGCUCAGUUUGUGGCUGUUAAUGGGAUCUGCAAAGUGGUCUCCGCGAUAAGACUCUGCAACUUGAGGAAAAUUGUAGCCAUUUUGGACAAUAGUUUAUAUUGAAUAUAUUGAUUGAUGUAUGAAUACAUAAAAAAAAAAUCUAGGGUUGGUAAUUUAACACGUUAAUUUGAUUAAUAAAUUUUUAACGCAUUUAAUGCACUAGCCCCGCCCCAGACCUAUGUGCAUCAUCUGUCAUUUCACAUAGUCAAUUGAUGAUGACUAUUAUGAGGCAAGGCAACAACUCACUGAUCCUAGAAAAAUCCCUAAAAUCCCAAGAUAUGGGGCAAAAUGCCAGUUUUAAAUUGUGUCUCAUAUUUACAUCACAUAGUUAAGAAAUAUCACACGAGCUAUAGGCUAAGUGCAUUAUCACACAAGUGCAAAUGUGAUACUCAUCUUAUACAACAGUUCAUUAAGAAGUUAAUAUUGUGUUAUUUUAGACACAAUGUUGUCUGUUUUGCUCAAUUUUACCAACCAGAAGAUAAAGACAAAGCAGAACUGUUCUGCAUUUGAAGUGGUGCUGCACAGACCGAUCGAUUUAUGAUAUCAAAGUACCGCGAGAAGGAUUCAAAAGCACAAAGAGUCGACUGCUCUCUGAACUCUUGCGGUUCUUUGAUGUCACACACCGAUCAUUCUGAUGGUUAUGACCCGCUAAUGAUUCAAUAAACCAUUCAUAAAGAGCCCUUUACUUCACUCCUGAAUGAAUCAGCCAUUUGAACAAAUCGAAUGAAUUAAGGACUCUAUUACUUAUUUAUUUAGACAUUUACCACCAUCUACUGGCAUUUUUAGUUUAUUAUUUAGAGUAUCAUUUCAUUAAAGAAAUAAUUUCAUAUUUUCAUAGUAAUAAUAAUAAAAUUAUAAAUAAAUUAUUAAACUUAUAGUUCACCCAAUGACUAAUCAGAGUGAUGCUGGUGAAGGUAGAGACGGAAUAGAAGUUGCUGAGGUGGCUCAGGUAGCAGGUCAAGGGUCAGGAGACAUUUUGAAUGAGACUGCAGGAUCAGACACACUUUGAACUCUGACCUGAGUUCCAACAUGUUGUCCACAACUGAACUAUGGACUCCUCUGUUAUUCCUUGUCUUGUUCGUUUUG